UCCAGCAGCCGCGGUAAUACGUUCCCGGGCCUUGUACACACCGCCCGUCACGCCAUGGAAGCUCGGAGCGCCCGAAGUCGGUGUCGGAACCCUCACGGGGCCAAGCCGCCGAAGGCGAGCCGGGUGACUGGGGCGAAGUCGUAGGGGGGUAGCCGUAGGGGAACCUGCGGCUGGAUCACCUCCUUUCCAGAGAAACGAGUAGAGCUCCAGCAAUGGAACUCAAAAGUUCUCAAGGAUUU
rnacentral:misc_RNA from 1 species